CCUACGGGUGGCAGCAGUGGGGAAUAUUGCACAAUGGGGGGAACCCUGAUGCAGCGACGCCGCGUGAGUGAAGUAGCAUUUCGGCACGUAAAGCCCUAUCAGCAGGGAAGAAAAUGACGGUACCUGACCAAGAAGCCCCGGCUAACUACGUGCCAGCAGCCGCGGUAAUACGUAGGGGGCAAGCGUUAUCCGGAUUUACUGGGUGUAAAGGGAGCGCAGACGGCAGUGCAAGCCUGGAGUGAAAGGCCGGGGCCUAACCCCGGAACUGCUCUGGAAACUGGACAGCUAGAGUACAGGAGAGGAAAGUGGAAUUCCUAGUGUAGCGGUGAAAUGCGUAGAUAUUAGGAGGAACACCGGUGGCGAAGGCGGCUUGCUGGACUGUGACUGACGUUGAGGCUCGAAGGCGUGGGGAGCAAACAGGAUUAGAUACCCUGGUAGUC
rnacentral:rRNA from 1 species